UCUUCUCUUUCACUUUUUUUUUUCUUUUCAGCGGGAUGAGUAUAAGUUAUUUCUGACUGGUGACCGAAAAACGUCGUGCCGCAAUUGCCUGAAACAAACCAUGAGCGAUAAUCUUGCCGCCAAUUUUACUUGGAAGGGACAGCACUCUAAAGCGAUGGCAUCCCCCAAAAAAGCGUUCGAAGGAACUCAAGUUCAUCGCUUGAUUUUGCAAGUAGUCAAUCUGAAAUUUAAAGACAACAAAUUGACAAUGAAAGACUUCCAGGACUACCUGUCAGAUUGGCUUUCAAUGGCUAAAUUUAGACUCCGAAGAAGGACUGAAAGAGCUGCAGCUCGUGAGGCAAGACUAGCAGAAAUGGGUCACCCUGCUGAUCUUCAAAGCAGUGACAGCAGUGAUGAGUCUUCAUCAGAGGAGUGAUCCGUCCAUGAAACAAUGACCACAUCAGCAAGAGAAUGCUUACUUUUCAUUGUUUUUUUUUUCCUGUUUGUUGAGUGAGGAGUUCGAAGGACAAAUGAAUCACUAAAUACAAAAAGGGCACAUGUCCAGAAAACCAAAUUGUUCAGGAGACACAAAAAACUGUUUAGUUCGUGGUAGAUAUAUUUUGGAAAAUUGUUAUGUUUAAAAUUGAAUUCUAUACGGCAGUCUGCGUAUAAUGAUGGUUUAUUUAUCUGAAAAUAUUAGAAACUAGCCUAUUGGCAGCCAUUUAAAAAGUUUGGACUUGUGCCCUUUUUGUAUUUAACGGGCUAAGAUGACAAGUUUAAGCAGUUAAUUACUAAUUUAAACCAAUUUGUUUUGAAAAAUGCUUAUUUUCAAGCUUCUAGCUGACAAGAGACACAAAAUAUCUUAAAUGCUACUCUUCUUGCCUACCACUCGCUCUUUUCGAGUCUCACUAGUUUCCGUGGUUAUCAAAAAAAUGUCUGCCCAGAACUUUUUAAAUUCAGAGGGGGUGUAAGGUUCAAACUUCUCCAGAUCUGCCAUCUUCUUAUCAACAAUGGAAAAAACCCCUGUGUACAAGUGUUUUGUGGGUAAACAAAGUGACAUUACAUUCGAUUUUCUCAGUUUAAAUUUCAUAGUCGCACAAGACCCGAAACGCACUCAGAAACCUUUAAGACCAUGAAGUUCUCAGUCGUGCAUUCAAAUUGGUGAUAGGUGGAAAUUAUAAAUAUAUUCACCACUGGUCUACCUAAAUGCCUACCACUCUGG
rnacentral:lncRNA from 1 species